rnacentral:misc_RNA from 1 species
AAUCUAUAAAAAAAUUUAAACAUCUUUAACCAACAAUUAUUUGCAAUUUUGCAUAACUAACAUAUUUAACCAACAUCUAAAUACAUUCUGAAAAGCAGGAGGCAGAGGGUAGGUAUUACAGGAAACAGAUGUUCAAAGUAACUAAUUGAAAUAGUUUCCAUUCAUAUCUUCCAAUAAUUAACAAGAUCAGGAUCCAUGUAAAAA